UACGGGGGGGGUAAGCGUUGUUCGGAAUUACUGGGCGUAAAGGGCUCGUAGGCGGCCAACUAAGUCAGACGUGAAAUCCCUCAGCUUAACUGGGGAACUGCGUCUGAUACUGGAUGGCUUGGAUUCGGGAGAGGAAUGCGGAAUUCCAGGUGUAGCGGUGAAAUGCGUAGAUAUCUGGAGGAACACCGGUGGCGAAGGCGGCAUUCUGGACCGACAUUGACGCUGAGGGGCGAAAGCCAGGGGAGCAAACGGG
rnacentral:rRNA from 1 species